GAGGAGGAGGAGGAAGAAGAGGCGGAGGAGGAAGCCCUUUGUAUGGAAAAGCCCAUUAGAAGUGGCAAGAAGAUGGCACGGUGGUGACAAUGGCGUGGGAGUCAACCAGUCAACCAAGACCUCUCAGUUCGGAAAUCCUGGCUGCAGUGUGCGCUCACUGCUUCUCUCCCAAGCUUCGUCUUUCAUCUGUCAUUUCCCCCUUCAGUAAUUGUUCUGUUUAUCUUCCCGCUUCUAACCCAGACCCAAGCAAGUCUGCUCCCCGUACUUUUCCAGUUGACACAAGGGGAAACUGAGGUACCCAGAUUAUUUCUUAAUGAGCCUUGCCUCUGGUCCCGUCUCAGGAUGGCCAGAAGUAUGGACCCUGUGGGCUGGGACUCUGGAAACCAGCCCACUCACCCGGGCUUGGGAAGGUGCUGUGCGUCAUACCGGCUCUGUUGCUAUGAUCAGUGAAAUCACCGAGAAUGCAGAUAUGAUUAAUAAAGGGAGUGUUGUUUCCA